rnacentral:rRNA from 1 species
GACGAACGCUGGCGGCGUGCCUAAUACAUGCAAGUCGAACGCAGUGGGGGCGGGUGCGUAACACGUGGGUAACCUCCCAUCAGAGGGGAUAACACUUGGAAACAGGUGCUAAACCGAUAUUGAUGGAUGGACCCGCGUUGCAUUAGCUAGUUGUUGCGGUAACGGCUCACCAAGGCCACGAUGCAUAGCUGACCUGAGAGGAUGAUCAGCCACACUGGGAUGGAGACACGGCCCAGACGACUACGGGAGGCAGCAGUGGGGAAUAGUGCACAAUGGGCGCAAGCCUGAUGCAGCCAUGCCGCGUGUAUGAAGAAGGCCUUAGGGUUGUAAAGUAAGUUUAGCGGGGAGGCGUUACCCGAAGAAGAAGCACCGGCUAACUCCGUGCCAGCAGCCGCGGUAAUAC